GGGGCGCCUCUCUCGAGCCCACGCACACCACUGGCUCUGCCCGACGGGCACCAUCCUCAUCUGGCCAGCCUAGACAACGCCGGCAACCCCUAAUCAGACCACCGCUAUACGCAACCACCGUACCUCCAGAGGCCACCGUGAACCCCAGUCGCGGUUUCCCUCGUCGACCUCCGAUCCGGUGCCAUUCAAGAGUUUUCCCCUUUCCUCUCCUUCUCUUACUCACACACGGCUAAUACCGACAAUCGUCCUGGCUUCGCCACUAACAGCUUAGGAUGCCAACACCGACGCUAAAUCCUCCUUGUCUCUCGAAUUGGAAUUAUGUUAUGUUGUUCUAUUGGAAUCGCAGGUGAUGAAAGGAUUGAACAAGUGCUCUAUGAAGAAUUUUGGAGAAGAAGAUAAUAUAGAUAAUGGAAUGGGGAUGGAUUAUGCGGUGGUGAGUGAUGAAGAGGAAAAGAUUGUGUGACUGUAUGUGAUGGUUGGGUUGGAUCUCUGUUUUUGCAUAUGUGUUUCAGGUGCUGCCCAACAUUUGGCUUUCGGUCCCAGAGCAAUGGUAAGGAUGAGUUGGUUAUUUUGGGCUGUUGGUUGGCUCAGGUUUAUUUGAGAAGAAAGAGACGUUUUGGACAUUGUCGUGCAGCCCUUGGCAUUGUAAUUCCAAGGAAAUAAGGUGGAGGAUGAUGUAAGUAGGUCCAAGACGUGGUGAUGCCUGCUGGUUUAUGUGUUAGGCGUGUGGGGGUAGAGAAGAAUAUAAUGUGAUUUGGGGCUGUAAUCUUGGUUGGUUCUUGGUUUGUUUAUUUUUUUUUUUGGUGAUUUCGUGUAAUGCAGGUGGAGGGUGAUGGUGUGAGUCAGGCACAAUGGCUAUUGAACUAGACGUUGGGUAAAGGCGAGAAGGGAAAUGCCCGUCGAGGCCGAGAGAGGCAAGGUGAAGACUAUGUGGUGGUAUCUCAAGCAACAGCUUGGAUUAGACAUUGAAAGCCAUUGAAAGAAGAAGCAAUGUUUCUUCACGCGCAGCUCUCGUAACGAGUAACUGAUUUAUAUCAACUAAGAUAGAGAGCUUACCUUGGUGCUGAACCUCACUGCAAUCACCCCCAACCCCUCUUGAUGCUUCCCUCCUCUGUUUCUGUUUCUCUGUUUUUUCACGAUUGUGAGUCGUAAAUGGGGUCCAGGUUCUCUUGAAUAAGUAAAGAAAAUGGAAAAGAGAUUCUUGUGAGGUGACGAAUUGGGAACCAGUGGUGUUGAAGAGCAAAGGAAACGGUUAAGAUGUGGUAAGGAGGUAGUGGUGAGUCCUAGGGGAAUUGUCGAAGGUGGUGGAAGAAUGCCCAUAGGAUCUGUGGAUGAUCAGCUUUUUUGCAGAACAGAAUGGUGGUCCUUGUGUAUGAGAGAGAAAAUCAUUUUUUUGAUGGAUCCCCCCUCAAACCUUGUUGUGCUCUGUAUAUCACUCUCUGUCCAUUCCCUCUGCCAAUUCACACUGUGUCUGCCAACCCAUUUGUGCCUGCAAAAAUCGUUUCUUGCUCCCUAACCAGCACGUACCUUUGCCAGUCUUGCAACCUCCCUGCCCCCCAAAAACCACCUCUGCUCUCCUUUUUCCAGGCCAAAAAAUUUCUCUUUUUACUUUUCUUUUACACCAAAACAAAAUCUUUCCCUUUUUUUUUUCAAUUUUGCACUAAAAGACAAAACCCCCUUUUUUUUUCUUUUUCUUUUUUAACUAAAUUAAUUAUCGAUUAUCACUUACAAUAAUUGAUUAUUUGUGUCAGUUGGAACCUGACUUUUGAUAUUCAGAGCAGAUGGCUAUAUAUUUAGGUUCUGAGAAAUUCAAAAAAGAACGUUGUUGAACAGAGAGAGUUUUUGGAGAAUAUUGUUUGUCAGAGGAAGUUCUCAAAAGCUAUUGUUCAGGUUCCCUUGCUUGGUCUCGUGAGUAGGAGAAGCUCGUGUUUCGUGUAUCGAUAGUCGGGGCGGUUCUCUUCGAGUUAGCAAGGUGCUCUGCCUGGUCUCGUGAAUAGGAGAAGCUCGCAUAUCGUUUGUCGAUUGUCGGAGCGGUUCUCUUUGAGUUGGCAGAGUGUUCAUCUUCCGGUUCGUUCGUCGAAGAAAGGUUUACUUUAUCAGUUUUAUUCACUAUAUUUGUAAUCUGUGAAACUCAUUUUUAGUGGAAUUGUUAAUCACUGUUUAUAGUGAUUAACGAUUGGACGUAGAUUCUUUUGAAUCGAACCAGUAUAAAAAUUACUUGUGUGAUUUUUCUAUUCA